ensembl:lncRNA
AUCAUUGUCGUCAUUGUUGCGGUGAUCACCGUCCUCAUCAACAGAACAACAGCCCACCUCUACUGAAGAGCAACUACCGAACCACGAACGAUGCUGGACCCAUGGAUUUGAGAAAGAAUAAGAAGGAAAGAGGGCAGUCAUCUGUGACUUGAUGCUACUGUAGAUGUCUAUGCUGCUGUGCUCCCUUCAGUCAUUUUUGAGUACUUUUCCACUUAAAAUACAUGCAUUUAAAAUGAAACAAAACCCAGAAAAUCUAGAAUUUACUAUUCUGCUGUGUCAUAUAAAUAUUCAGUUGAAUACUGGAACUGUGAUAUGACACUUUCUAUCAUCUUCAGCAUUUCCAAGAUUUUUAACUUGACGCUUAGCUGUUAUUAAAAGCCUACAUCAUAUCAAAAGCAGCAGCAGUUCUGAAGUGUUACUCUAAGUUAACUGCUUCUGCUUUGCUUUAAAAGAAAACAGAACCCAAAUCUCUGGUGCAACCCUUGUUACCCAUUUACUUGUCCUACUAUUCUGCUGAAUUUGCUCCUCUGUUUUAAUACAUCUUGUACUGUAAUGGCUUCUUUCAAUUCUUACUGUUUCUUUCAUAUACCAGCCUUCUUACCCUGUUUGAAAGCUUUUCAAAGAAAUGUGCACUAUACUACCUUCAGAAGCUCACCACAUUCUGGAAUUGAUGAAAAGAAGGGAAGGGCACCGAAUUAAAAAUCACCCUGUACUCUCAGGCAUCGAGAUUUUCAAUUUAGCGAAUGUCAGCAGAGGAAUCCUUGCUUCUUCUAGCUGCCACAGUGAGCCGUGUGGAGGGCUGGAAGACACGCUGCUCACCUGGUCAAAUGGUGGUAAUUCAACACUCUUUUCUCAUCAUAUUGGCAAAUUCUCCCCUUGUCAUCUUACCUUAAAUUCUAAGCAAACCAAAAAAAGUCUGCUUAUGCUUACCAGGCAGGUUUCAUCCACAUUUUACAGUUAUAAUUAAAAGCUACAUUUUGAUUAAGGACAUUAUGAAUUACAAUAAAGUGCAAAGAACAUGCAAAAUGAAUAAUUAACAUUGUAUAGACUUCAGCAUCAUAAUUAAGAUUAAAUACUACAUAUAUUCAAACUGGAUUAGCACAUUCACUGAAAGCUGUAAUAUGCUCAGUAGGAGAGUCUAUGCAUUCACAAAAUAAUGUUUUAUGAGGAGUAUUCUAGCAACAUUAAGCAUAAGGUUGUCAUAUAUAAAAUGAUUAACGUUUUGUAUAAAAGAAGCUGUAAUUCCAGUAAAUGAAGUCAUUUCAUCUCCCUGCUGCUUCUACCUUUAGGAAUAUACUGUAAAUGAAAAGUGGCUCAAUGUGAAGUCUAGUUAAAUAGAAUAUGAAUCCUCUUGUUUGAAGUUAAUGAGACUUGGAAACCUGCAUUUAAAAAAAAUGUUGUGAUUUUAAAUCACCGAUUUCAUUAAAAUUUGCAUACAGCACAAACAUUUUUGUUCUACUAACACUUCUAUGUUCUUAGCCGCAUAACUCAGAAUGUCUCAUUGCUUUUCCUCAUCUUUCUUUGCAAUGUGUCCCCCACUUGCAGCUAUUUCUCAACAGAUCUCAAUCCUCCAUAAUGCUUUUAGCAGAUGUGUGGCUACCAUUAGCUCCAAAGAAAAUGCAGUGCUUCCACUUAAGCGAACGCUUAAGAAGGCAUUGUUGAAAGCUAGGAAGUAUACUGCUUUUAGGAAUGUGGCUGUUCAUCGUCAAGGACUUGCUUCUUUCUAAUGGAGAAGAUCAUCCAACCCACUAGUUUUAUGUUUUUGUUGCCUCUUUUUAUGUUUUUAUUUAAAAAAAAUAUUAAAAAGAAGUUUUAUUAUCUAUAUGAAUUAGCUAUAUUAUAUACAGUCCCUCUUGACUCAGUGUGGCCCAUGCAGGCCAAAAGGCUGGACACCCAUGGUAAAAGAACCUGCAAGAACUGGAAGUUGUUGAAGUGUGAAUCGUCCACCGUGCUCCAACAGAACAGCCAUGAGAAAAGAGACUCCUUGGCUACUAAUUACGCAGUCCUUUUGUCGAGGCCGAGUACACACAGAUUGCUGGGGCACUGCUUGAGCAGAGAAGCAUCCGUCUGCAGAGGGGGUGCUGACAAGCUGCCAGCUGCUCCAAGCUGAUAGAUCAAAGGAGAAAUAGGCUGUAGUUUUCUCCUCAAGACAAGACAGUGAGAUUAAAUCAUGUCUAUGGAAAGGAGCGCCAGGAAUGUCAGAGAUAACGCAAUAUAUAUGUUGGUAUGUACUGUUUUAAAUGUAUUUCAUCUAAAAAAGUAGCUGUUCUUCAGCUGCUUCAAAGUGAGCUU